GACGAACGCUGGCGGCGUGCUUAACACAUGCAAGUCGAACGAUGAAGCCGGAGCUUGCUCUGGUGAAUUAGUGGCGAACGGGUGAGUAACACGUGAGUAACCUGCCCUUGACUCUGGGAUAACUGCUAGAAAUGGUAGCUAAUACCGGAUACGACCCUCGGAGGCAUCUCCAGGGGGUGGAAAGAAUUUCGGUCAAGGAUGGACUCGCGGCCUAUCAGCUAGUUGGUGAGGUAAUGGCUCACCAAGGCGACGACGGGUAGCCGGCCUGAGAGGGUGACCGGCCACACUGGGACUGAGACACGGCCCAGACUCCUACGGGAGGCAGCAGUGGGGAAUAUUGCACAAUGGGCGCAAGCCUGAUGCAGCAACGCCGCGUGAGGGAUGACGGCCUUCGGGUUGUAAACCUCUUUUAGCAGGGAAGGAGCGAAAGUGACGGUACCUGCAGAAAAAGCACCGGCUAACUACGUGCCAGCCGCCGCGGUA
rnacentral:rRNA from 1 species